ACACGGCGCGCCGACCCUCGUGGGCAGGGGCAGGACCAGCGCGGGGGCACGUCGGGGGGUGGAAAGCGGGAAGACCACGCGCUUGUGACUGUCAGCAUUCACCGUGAAGUCCGUGUCUAUAGGAGGGGACACGGGCAGGCUGGCACGGGCUCUAGCGCUAAAGCACCCUAGAGAAACUGUCAGAGAAUGUCCCCUUUGCUAAUUCGUCUCUGAAAGACGCCUGCCGCUGCCGCCAACUGCGAACUGGGCGCAGGGACUGCGACAGCAGUGAAAGAGAACACCUGAUGCGUUCAUCUGCGCUACGGAAGGACACGUCUGAAUUCCUCCACGGAGCACACUCUGCACUCGGUUUAUGUAUCAGAAAAAGGAAAUGCCCUCGUGCCCUGACUCCUGGCCUUCUUGGAGCCCGGAACAGACCAAGAGGAAGGGGCAUCACACAUUGCCUGACAGUGGUGUGCGUCCACACAGCACAAGCUGAACGGGAAAUGACACAGUCAUUAGACAGAGGAGACAGUACUCAAGCUGGAACCGCAGCCAACACUGAGAUGAUAAAAGGAAGUCUUCCUUUGUUUCCCCUGAGUCAGGAACGUGGAAAGAGAAAUCUCAGGGGAGGGGUUAGGUUUUUUUGUUUUGUUUUGUUUUUUAAAGAACAGUUUCACAAAUUAUCGAUAAAUAUUUGUAAAGUAUUCAACCUCAAGAGAAAUGAAAAGUAACACAAGGAAGAUAAGUCAUCUCUCACUCAUCAGAUUGGCUAAGUCACAUGGAUUGAUUAUAUUCCCAUAUCCGUAAUGGAGUGUUUCGGACAUGCAACUUACACACAGUAGAAGGCAAGCUUAAAUGUUGAGGACUUUUUGGAGGGAAUGUUACAGUACAUUGUUGAGACAGCCGCUAGCCUGAGCAACCGCGCCUGCUCUGGCUGAGAAUACAAGGCUCCAAAGCUUCCAUCUUCUGAUGGAGCAGUUUCUGUAGUCAGUUACACAGGCAGCCAAUAUAAUAAUCAAGGCACCCAGGGAGUGAGCAUCCUGUGACUGCUCACUACCGGAGGCUAUGGGGGCAGCAGACUGGCUUGUUUGCUGCUCCCUGCAAAGUCAUGCCUGAAAUCCCAGCGCUUUGGGAAGCUGAGUAGUAAAUAAUAGCUUGAGGCCAGGAGUUCAAGACCAGCCUGGGCAACAAAGCGAGACCCCUGUCUCUACCAAAAAAUUAAAAAACUUAUCCAGGCUGGUGCCGCCUGUAGUCUCAGCUACUCAGUAGGCUGAGGCAGGAGGAUUGCUUGAAGCCAGGAGUUUGAGACCAGCCUGUGCGAGAUAGUGAGAACCCCCC
rnacentral:lncRNA from 1 species